ensembl:rRNA 5S_rRNA 5S ribosomal RNA
GUCAGCAGCUAUACCAUCUGUGGUUCAGACCAGGUAAUCCGUCUGAACUUAAACAGGAUUGGGCCUGGCCAGUGUUUUGAGGGGAGACCAAUUAGGAAAGCUGAGUUGCUUCUGGAA